CCCCAGAGUGCAGUCUGGACGAUGGGGCGGGGUGACACUUCGAGGCGGAGCGACACGUGUCGCCCCGCCCAUAUUUGUUUUCCCCGCCUUUGACAUUUUCCUCCGAGCCAGCAGGGGGCAGUUUGCGUUGAAACAAACAGAACGGUGGCAACUACAGCAGCAGAGUAAUAACGCUAUUCCGUUGAUUGCUUGAGGUGAGUAAAGGUGGUUGUGUAAAUAUCUUAUAAUAUGAAAUGCGAUGUUCGAUCAUUUAUUUAUCCAUGGUACGUUCAAUUUGAAUAAUUAUUGUUAAUAAUUGUUAUAAAUUGCUCAUUUUAUUGUUCUUUGUGGAUUGUAACAGUACACUCUGUACAUGGCUUUAGUUCAUAGGUUCGAUUUUACAGAGGUAUGGCAUCACAUUUGUCAAGUUAUUUGAACAGACAUGCAUGAUUUUUGUGUGUAUAUUAUUAUUAUUAUUAUUUUUCAGGAUGACAUGAUCAGGAGGUGGUGGUGUUCUGUUCUCCUGGACAGCUUUACUCUGCAAAUAGCUCAACCACUGAGGGGAGGAACUUCACCAUUCACCAUGUCUUCAGGCAGAGUCCAGCAAAGCAGCUUCCACUGGAAAUCCUCAGGGAAGUUAUUUUGUCAGCGGGUGACUCUGCAUAUUUGACACUUUGUCUGGUUUGCAGAUGGUUUAGGGAGUUUUUCGGAAAGCGGCACAGUUUGCCUGGCUAGACAGCCAAUUGGAAGAAUUGUACUCCUGUCUCCUGACCGGAACGAGUUCAGACGGAUGUACAGCAUCAGGGAAUGCUUGCAGUGCAGAGCCCUUUUCAAGUUUAACCCACACGGGUACAGAGAAGAGACCGACGUGGUGAUCUUCUGGGCUUUUGUUUACACAGGAUUUUGUUCCAAGGACUGUUUUUUUUUUUUUUUUUUUU